GGCCAGAUAGCUCAGUCGGUAGAGCAUGCGACUGAAAAUCGCAGUGUCGGCAGUUCGAUUCUGCCUCUGGCCACCA
rnacentral:tRNA from 1 species